rnacentral:lncRNA from 1 species
GUCUGUGUCUGUGACGGCCCCACAUCUCUCAGGGGUUCAGACAUUCCUGCAGAGGUGGGAGCUUCCCUUCAGAGGGGACAUGGGAGCUCAUCUGCACUCGCAGCAAGGGACAGCAAUGGCCAAGGGGACAGGCAUGCAACGCUGAGAGGACGUAGGUGGUGGCCACACAGAAGGGCCUUGGUCGGGGCUGUCUCUCCAUUGCGGUCAUGUGCAUUCGAACAGGAUGUGCAUCUUGCCAGGCUCUUUGACAUCCACCAUCUCCUGAAUCAACUCUGUCUCGUGAGACAGGAAUGACCCCCAUCUAACUGGUGGGUACUCUGAGGACUAUCUAAUGAACAGGACUUCCAAGUGGCACAGUAUGGACCUGACAUCUUAGGAGGCUUGGCGCUGGGUCCUUGGUGAGGACAACCCUGAAUAACAAAAUGUUUCCCUAACAUUCAGGUACCCAUGGAAAUUGGCAUGGGCUAAGAUAGGGUCGACAAAGGGAAAUCGAUGGGGCCCUGGUUUCUACUGUGGACAAAAUGACAUGAUGGACACCUGGAAAUUACUGGCUUUCAGGUACGUCUGAGCAGUUCGCUCCUUGCUCUUCAGGAGGUGAUGUUUGUCUUCUGCAAUCUCAUCUGUGCUACUGACUUCUCACUCCCAAAGGUGGCAGCAGCGCAUCCAGGGGGCAGAGGGCCCGGCGCCCGAGGACAGAGGCCAGGCCUGCUGCUGGUUUCUCCAGAAGCCCUGAAGGUCACACCUGGUGUGAUGGCCACCGUGUUUCCUGUGAGGCACCUGCAAGGGUUUGAUAAGAUCACUCCCAUCACCAGCUCAUUAAAAUAACAUGCUGCCCCCCACCUCCUCUGUGCAGAGCACUCAGAAAGCCUCACCUGUGGCCUGGCCCAGCCCCCAAAGUCCACCUGCACAGGCAGCUCCGCUCCUGGGCAGCUCACGCUGAGGGCCCUGUGUGUGGGCCGAGCCCCCAGCCAUUCGUGUGGCCAUCGGCAGACCGCUCUCCCUGGACCUCCACGUCCUCAGCCACGACACGAGGGGCUUGCACGAGACUGGCUUCCUGGCCCCUUUCUGGUUUCAUUCCCUGCACAUGAUUCCCUUAUGAGGGGAUUGGCUGUAAGGAGGAAACCCCCCCUCGCCGCCUGCUGAUAAGCCACUGUGUCAACCUGC